AUUCCGGUAGACGAUGGGGAUGCGUUCCAUUAGAUAGUAGGCGGGGUAACGGCCCACCUAGUCUUCGAUGGAUAGGGGUUCUGAGAGGAAGGUCCCCCACAUUGGAACUGAGACACGGUCCAAACUCCUACGGGAGGCAGCAGUGAGGAAUAUUGGUCAAUGGGCGAGAGCCUGAACCAGCCAAGUAGCGUGAAGGAUGACUGCCCUAUGGGUUGUAAACUUCUUUUAUAAAGGAAUAAAGUCGGGUAUGCAUACCCGUUUGCAUGUACUUUAUGAAUAAGGAUCGGCUAACUCCGUGCCAGCAGCCGCGGUAAUACGGAGGAUCCGAGCGUUAUCCGGAUUUAUUGGGUUUAAAGGGAGCGUAGAUGGAUGUUUAAGUCAGUUGUGAAAGUUUGCGGCUCAACCGUAAAAUUGCAGUUGAUACUGGAUAUCUUGAGUGCAGUUGAGGCAGGCGGAAUUCGUGGUGUAGCGGUGAAAUGCUUAGAUAUCACGAAGAACUCCGAUUGCGAAGGCAGCCUGCUAAGCUGCAACUGACAUUGAGGCUCGAAAGUGUGGGUAUCAAACAGGAUUAGAUACCCUGGUAGUCCACACGGUAAACGAUGAAUACUCGCUGUUUGCGAUAUACGGCAAGCGGCCAAGCGAAAGCGUU
rnacentral:rRNA from 1 species